AGCCCCAACAGCGAAAAUUAAAGCUGCUGCAGCGAAACAGCUCGUAGUUGAACUUCUGCUGGGGUGGCUGGUCUGCCCGAUGGGUGUGCAGCUGGCUUAUUGAGUGGAGGUCAUGAUGGAUAGGGAUAGUUGGGGGCACUUGUAUUUAACUGUCAGAGGUGAACUUCUUGGAUUUGUUAAAGACAGACUGCUGCGAAAGCAUUUGCCAAACAUGUGUUCA
rnacentral:rRNA from 1 species